AUACGGAGGAUCCGAGCGUUAUCCGGAUUUAUUGGGUUUAAAGGGAGCGUAGGUGGACAGUUAAGUCAGUUGUGAAAGUUUGCGGCUCAACCGUAAAAUUGCAGUUGAUACUGGCUGUCUUGAGUACAGUAGAGGUGGGCGGAAUUCGUGGUGUAGCGGUGAAAUGCUUAGAUAUCACGAAGAACUCCGAUUGCGAAGGCAGCUCACUGGACUGCAACUGACACUGAUGCUCGAAAGUGUGGGUAACAAACAGGAUUAGAUACCCUGGUAGUCCACACAGUAAACGAUGAAUACUCGCUGUUUGCGAUAUACAGUAAGCGGCCAAGCGAAAGCAUUAAGUAUUCCACCUGGGGAGUACGCCGGCAACGGUGAAACUCAAAUGAAUUGACGGGG
rnacentral:rRNA from 1 species